UACGUAGGGUGCGAGCGUUAAUCGGAAUUACUGGGCGUAAAGUGUGCGCAGGCGGCCGCGCAAGUCGAGUGUGAAAUCCCCGAGCUUAACUUGGGAAUUGCGCUCGAAACUACGUGGCUGGAGUGUGGCAGAGGAAGGUGGAAUUCCACGUGUAGCGGUGAAAUGCGUAGAGAUGGGGAGGAACACCGAUGGCGAAGGCAGCCUUCUGGGCCAACACUGACGCUCAUGCACGAAAGCGUGGGGAGCAAACAGG
rnacentral:rRNA from 1 species